rnacentral:rRNA from 2 species
GACUCUCGGCAACGGAUAUCUCGGCUCUUGCAUCGAUGAAGAACGUAGCGAAAUGCGAUACUUGGUGUGAAUUGCAGAAUCCCGUGAACCAUCGAGUCUUUGAACGCAAGUUGCGCCCGAAGCCAUUAGGCUGAGGGCACGCCUGCCUGGGUGUCACAC